rnacentral:rRNA from 1 species
GACGAACGCUGGCGGCGUGCUUAACACAUGCAAGUCGAACGGUGAAGCGCUUUUCUUUUUGGUGGGUGUGGAUGAGUGGCGAACGGGUGAGUAACACGAGAGUAACCUGCCCCCUUCUUUAGGAUAACCGCAUGAAAGUGUGGCUAAUACGGGAUAUUCUGGUUCUGUCGCAUGAUGGGUCUGUGUAAGAUAUUGUUGCGGUGGGGGAUGGGCUCGCGGCCUAUCAGCUUGUUGGUGGGGUGAUGGCCUACCAAGGCGGUGACGGGUAGCCGGUCUGAGAGGGUGAGCGGCACGACUGGGACUGAGACGCGGCGCAGACGUGUACAGGAUGGAGCAGUGGGCGAUAGUCUGCAGCGGGCGCGAGGCGGAAGCAGUAGAGCCGUUCGGGUGGUGACGGUCUUUCGGUAGUGAAGCGCGUCUGCCUCGGAUGUAGGGGGGGUGACGGUAGCUGGAAAAGAAGCACCGGCUAACUACGUG